rnacentral:rRNA from 1 species
GAUGAACGCUGGCGGCGUGCUUAACACAUGCAAGUCGAACGAUGAAGCUCAGCUUGCUGGGUGGAUUAGUGGCGAACGGGUGAGUAACACGUGAGUAACCUGCCCUUAACUCUGGGAUAAGCCUGGGAAACUAGGUCUAAUACCGGAUAGGAGCGCCUACCGCAUGGUGGGUGUUGGAGAAAUUUAUCGGUUUUGGAUGGACUCGCGGCCUAUCAGCUUGUUGGUGGGGUAAUGGCUCACCAAGGCGACGACGGGUAGCCGGCCUGAGAGGGUGACCGGCCACACUGGGACUGAGACACGGCCCAGACUCCUACGGGAGGCAGCGGUGGGGAAUAUUGCACAAUGGGCGAAAGCCUGAUGCAGCGACGCCGCGUGAGGGAUGACGGCCUUCGGGUUGUAAACCUCUUUCAGUAGGGAAGAAGCGAAAGUGACGGUACCUGCAGAAGAAGCACCGGCUAACUACGUG